GAAGUUACCAAGCAGCUCCCCAGCCUUGUAGACUAACAGGGCAGGAAGAACCUGAAAAGACAUGAGGAGGAAUUCAAAUGGUCGAUGAGGAUGAAUAGUAGUGGAGAGGAGAAGCGUUCAGCAGCACCUGUGGCCACAGCAUCGAUACGACAAAACUUCACGGUUGAGUACUCCAGAGCCAGACAGUCCAGGCAUGAGUUCAGCUGCUCGCAGCCUGGUGCAAGACAAGCGGGUGACUGUUGGUGAACCACACCAGGGUCAGCCGAUGUUCCUUCUGUAUGACCUCCAGGAAGGAUUCUCCACUCUCCAGCUUGUGGACUUCUUCAAACUUUGGACCGAAGCUCAAGCGCUGGUGCAUGUCCUGCAUGCACUGCUUCCUGUAGCGUCUCAGACAUUGCUCGUCCUCGUUCUGGAUCAGUUCAUACUCCUGACUGCUCAUCUAAAAAACCUGUGUGAUUGGCAGGUAGCUCCUCUUCUUCCUGGGCAGGACCAGACAUCCUACUGCUGUCCUGUAAGGAGCACAACACACAAACUGAACAUGUGCAAAGAUACUUUACCAGCACUAGUAAUAUUGGUUAAAUUAUACUUAUAGUUUCUGGUUAAACUCCAUUUGGAGCUACACUAUCUAAACUAUGUACACAUUGAUAAUAAAAUGAUCCCUGAAUGUCAGUAUUAUCACCGAUGUUCUUAUAGUGAAUACAAAGCCAAGAAAGACUAAUAAUUUUUCUUUUCUUCUGCCACACUUAAAAGUUUGAGACACCAAAGCAAUAGCAACAUAUUUGCUUACAACAUGAAAUAUGUUCUCAUAAUCACUCAUCAAUCAAUUACACGUGAGCCAGACUCAAAAGUACUUAUCGGAUUAUGUGGCUAUGACAUCUACAUACAGAUGUCCAGGACGUUCUAUUAUGUCUGUAUAAAUACCAGUACAACCACUAAUA